AACCAGACUAAGGAAGAGGCAUCAUAGAGUGAGCUGAAGCCUUCUAUCCUUCCUGCUCAAUCUCAUUUCCUUUCUCCCUGUUCAGAGAAUAAUUAUCUAGUUCCUUACUUUAUACUGAUUUGUAUACAUCCACAUAUGUGUGAGUGCGGGCACAUUCAUUUUCAGAAUCAAUUCUUUCCUUCUACCUUAGUUUUAUUUUCUGUUUGUUUGCAUUUUUAUUUGUUUGUUUGUUUGUUUUUUAAAACAGGGUUUCCAGGCUAUUCUGGAACUCUCUUUGUAGACCAGGCUGGCCUUGAACUCACAGAGAUCUGCCUGCCUCUUCGGUCCUGAGUGCUCUGAUUAAAGGCUUGUGCUACCACGCCUGGCUCCUUCUACCCAGUUUUGAGACAGUCUCUCUUGUUAUUUCUGCUGUAGCAUUUUAUACUCCCGACCAGCUGGUCUGCAGGAUUCCUGGAGUCUCUGGUCUCUAUUACCCAACUUGCCUUAGGAAUGCUGGGGUUGCCAGCUGUGUCCACUGCCUUCAAGCAUCCAGAUGUUGCCUUUGCAGAAGACCCAAGUUUGAUUCCCCACACCCACUUGGUGGCUCACAGCCGUCUAUAGCUCCAGUUCCAGGAUACUUGAUACUGCCUUCCACUUUUGACCUCUGUGGACAGCAGGCAUGCACAUGAUGCAUGUACAUACAAGCAAAAUACUCAAAAACAUAAAAUAAAUGAAAUUUCAAAAUAAAAAAAGGCAAAACUAGCCAGCUGGUGGUAGCACACACCUUUAAUCCAUGCACUUGGGAGGCAGAGGCAGGUGCAUCUCUUGAGUUCUAAAUUCAAGGCCAGCCUGGUCUGCAGAGCAAGUUUCUGAAGAGCUAGGGUUACACAGAGAAACUCUGUCUCGAAAAACCAAAGGGGUGGGGGUAAGGAGGAAGAGAAGGAAGAAGAGAUAAAGCUACCCAGCAAAAGCUUAAGAAAAUAUUGGGUAUGCUCAACACCAGAGAGAAUUAUGAGACCCAUACUGAGGAACGCUGUGGUGGUGCACAGCUUUAAUCUAAGCACUUGGGAGUCCAGCCUGGUCUACGUGGUGAAUUCUAGGACAGUCAGAACCUACCUUGAAAAAACAGCAACAAAAAGGGAACCAUUCUGAGGAGGGGAGCUAUGGUGGCACACACCCGCAACCCCACAGCCGAGACCUAGCUCAGAAAAAGCAGCAAAAUAAAACGUGCAUACAUAGAAUUUCCAUCUCAUCCUAGGCAGAACGGCUGUUAUCAGUGGCCAGACAUGGUGGCGCUUUCCUGUAAUCCAAGCACUUUGGAGGAAGAGAGACGGAUAAGGAGUUCAAGGCCAGGCUCCACUAUAUGUAAAUUUAAGGCCAGCCUGGGCUACAUGAGACCCUGUUCCAACCCCACCCCACCCUGAAACAAACAAACCAAACAAGAAAAACCAGCAACAACAAAAAAGGAAGGAAGAUAAUAUCCAAUGAUGGUUACCAAUGUGAGGUGGGGAGAGAGGGAUAUUUAUACACUACUGGUGGGAAUUAAAUUAAUUCUGCCAUUAUAGAAUUCAGUAUUAUAGCUAAAGCUACUUUGUAACCAAGCCAUACCACUUCUGACACCUGCACAGCUAUGUUAAUUGUAGCAAUACUCACCAAACCAAAGAUAUGGAAUUAAUCUAAGUGCCCAUCAGCAAAGACAAUGUGCCAUAUAUAGGCUAGGGAAUGUGGCUCAAUUAGUAGGAUGUCUACUUAGCAUGCAUGAAGUACUGGGUUCAGGUCCCAGGACUACAUAGUUAUGGUGCACAUCUGUAUUCUAAGACUCAGGAAGUAGAGGCAGAAAGAUCAGAAGUUCAAAGUUGUAUAAUUUGAAACCAAGCUAGGCUAAUAAGAUUGUUUCAGGAGGGAGAAGAGGAAGGAAAAAAGAAAAUGUGAUGUAUAAUAGAAUUUUUUGUUUGUUUGUUUGUUUGGUUGGUUGUUUUUUGUUUUUUUUUCCAUUAAAAACUAACAGAACCAAGCUUUUAUUCCCAGCACUCAGAAAGGCAGAGGCAAAGGCCAGCCUGGUCUACAAAGUGAGUCCAGGACAGCCAAGGCUACACAGAGAAACCCUGUCUCAAAAAAACAAAAACAAACAAACAAAC